AUGGCUACACGUCCCGUUUUCAGGAUUAUUCUGUCCACGACUUGGCUUUCACCUAGAUGGACAAGAGUUUGUUCUUUAGUGAGACGCCCAGCUGCAAGUUGUUGUUUGACCACUUGUGAGGUGUCUCAGAGGCACCAAAUGGAUGUUCAUAAUGUUGAUCUAUCUACAUAUCAUGUGGUACAUGGCCCAGAAAGAAGCAGUACGAUGGUUGGUCCAAAACUAAGCUCAUUCUUAGCAUUGGAUCACUGCCGAGAUUUCUUUCUCUUGACAAGCAGCAUCAUUGCUUACACCAGGAGUUCUUUAGCGGCGGCAAAGAGUCGAGGUGCAGCAAUACUGAUGCAUCAUGCAAUGCCAAGUGAACAAAUGGCGUCUCUCGGGAAAUUACGGGGACGGAUACGAGCACUACGUACCGGUGUCCUACUAUUAAGAAGUUAUAUUGUUGUUUCUCAUCAAGACAUUGUUUAA
rnacentral:rRNA from 1 species